CACCACACUGUCUGUGUGGGUGGGUCAUUUCAGUUUGUCAGUGUUGUGUACGCCAAGGAACUUGAAGCUUUCAUUCUUCUCCACUGCGGUCCCGACAGAUGUAGAUAGGGUGGUGCCCCCUCUGCUGUUUCCUGAAAUCCACGAUCAUUUCCUUUGUUGAGUGAGGUUGUUUUCCAGGCACCACACUCCCAGAGCCCUCACCUCCUCCCUAUAGGCAGUCUCGUUAUCAUUGGUAAUCAAGCCUACUACUGUUGUCAUCUACAAACUUGAUGAUUGAGUUGGAGGCGUGCUUGGCCAGUCAUGGGUGAACAGGGAAUGCAGGAGGGGGCUGAGCACGCACCCUUGUGGGGCCCCAGUGUUGAGGAUCAGCGGAGUGGUGGUGAUGUUUCCUACCUUCACCACCUGGGUGGGAACCAUGGCUACUGUAUUUGGGAACCAUGGCUACUGUAUUUGGUAUUUAUCACUUAUUGGUGUUACACUAAUUGUGGUAACAUUUCAUUCAGCUGGAGAAGGUUGAUAUACCCUCUAGUGGUUAUAUAGAGAUUCUAGACUGUCAGAAGGUUGAUAUACUUUCUAGUAGUUAUAUAGAGA
ensembl:lncRNA